CCCAGAUCCUGGGCCACCACAUGGAGGACAGCGAGUGUCCUCAUGCACCAUGAGGGCUAGGCUUCAGUGUGCGAAGCCACUGCGAUGAAGUGUCUGUCACUGCAGCAGAGCCCAACACAUCCUGACUGACACAGUGAGACGGACGCUCAAAUACUGUACAAAAAUAGCUAUAACUUAUGUACGAAAUAAAGGCAUAACGAGAGAUUCUAACAGAGGCUGAUUUUGUCUUGGGGGGGAGGCAAGGGUUGUACGGGAAGACGGAGCUGAGAGCUGACAGGCAACGAGGAUGCAGGUCCAUCCCCUGAGCCCUGGGAUGGGUACCAGCACCGUGCUAAGUGCUUUACGAACAUCCCCACAAGGCCAUUCUCAGAAAAUGCCUAAAGCUUGGGGGACCAGGAGGGCGGCCAGGAGUGUGGUUUCUCCAUCAGUCAGGCGCUGAGCACCUACUACGUGCCGGGGAAAGAAGAGCCUCUGCUUUCAGGGGUUUCACACCCCGGAAGAAAGAAAAGGGGAGCUAGUUGAGAUGGAACAUUCAAGAAAGUCUUUCUGCCGAGGUGACGACAGAGCAGAGGGCCGGAGAGGAGCCAUGAGCCGUGGGCAUGGGGACAUCUGAGAAGGACAUUCCAGAGGGAAUUAGGAAAAGAUCCGAGGAAGGGGAUGCCUGGUGGGUUUGAGAAGCAGCAGGAGGGCAAUGGUGGCUGGAAGGGAACAGAACGAGGGUGGGAGAUGAAGUCAGAGACACAGGGCUCUGGAUGCUACUGAGAGAAGCCUUUGGAGGGUUCCGAGCAGAGGAGGGACAUCGCAUACUUCAUGUUUCAAGAGGAUUGUCCAGAACGUGGCGCUUGCCGUCUACAAAGCUUUCCUCCGGGACUUGGCUUCUGGUCCCUCCGCCCUCUCCUGUGAUUCUGUCUCUCCCUGCAGCCCUCGCAGAUGCCAGCGGUUCUCAUCUUGCCCUGUCACCCAGACAGUCCAGCCUCCGUCCCCCCAGCCAUGCGGCCUCUGCCCCUCCUCACCAUCUUGGCUUCCCUCAGAUGAUCCCCUCUCCUAAUUCCACCACUCAGUUGAGUCCCCUGGAGUUGACUGACACCUCGGAGGCCUGCCCCAAGGCUGGUCAUUAGGGACAUGGAUACUUGUCUGAGGUCCACGAGGCUGCCCCAGCCCUGCCCAUGUCUCCCCUGGAAGGAGGGGAGGAGGCCAUGCACCUUCCUGGUACCCAGCGACCUCCUCCCGGGCCUGUGGGAGACCUGGAAGGCCUAGCUG
rnacentral:lncRNA from 1 species